UAGCUCAGUCAGUUGAGCAUGACACUAGCAACGUCAAGGUUGCGGGUUCAAUUCCCGU
rnacentral:tRNA from 1 species